UUUUCCUGUCACUUUGUCAUCAAAUCUCUCUGGGUCUCUGUAGUUGUUCUUGUGGCUCUUGUUCCUUCCCUUUGAUCUUUGGAUUUUUCUGUUGGACUGUUUGGAUUCUGUGUUUUUAGACUUUUGAAGAAAGUUCUCAGAGUUUUGCUUUCUUUGUCUGCACUGCUGCUUCGUCUAACUCCUGCCUUCCUUCCAUUCCUCUCCUACUCUGGACCCGCACGCAGAAACGAACCUCAGGACUCCUCAUUGGAAGCAAGCUAAGACUCUCGAUUACAUUGUGAUCACCAGGAAUAAAUUAUUUACACCCUCAA